UAGAAAAUUCAAGAGGAAGAAGAGAAGAGAAACUUGAAGCUAGAGAGAGAGAGCUCGGUUUUGGGGGAGAAAAAAAAAAGUAAGUCUCCGAUUUUGCUUCGUGAAUUAAUUAUCUAUGGUGUACCAAGAUGUUAUGAAGGUAUUGGUAACGUAAAUUUAUGGUUUGGAGCAUUUCAAAACGUCACCAAACAGCCCCAAAGUUCUAGCCGCGCGAGGAGAGCUUCCGAGGCAAGUUUUGGAGAGUUUCGGUAAAGACUAACAAGUUGGAAGAAUAAGAAAAGCUAGUAAGGCGCGGUACAGGUACACCCAGACAAGUAGAAGCUACUAUAGAAGAUGUUCCAGCGGGGCUGGCAACUCCACUUGUUCUGGAGUGCUGCCGAGUCAGAGUUUAUGCGCUAUGAUGUUUCGUUCGAAGUUAGAGACUUUGCAGACAGAGUUAUGGGUAUAGAGUGUCAUCUUUGUAAGCGGCGUCACCAGCCGAUAUGUUAUUAUGUUGUAUGUUAUGAGUUUUAUGGGAUGAUAGAUUUUGGAAAAAAUAAUUCACGAAGCUUAGUUAUGUUUUUCAUUUCUUGUUGAUGUAAAAGUCUAAGAGAUUAAAUAUGUACUAUGAAGCAGCGGGU